CCUACGGGAGGCAGCAGUGGGGAAUAUUGGGCAAUGGAGGAAACUCUGACCCAGCAACGCCGCGUGAAGGAUGAAGGUUUUCGGAUUGUAAACUUCUGUCGCGAGGGACGAAGAAUGACGGUACCUCGUAAGAAAGCCCCGGCAAACUACGUGCCAGCAGCCGCGGUAAUACGUAGGGGGCGAGCGUUGUCCGGAAUGACUGGGCGUAAAGGGAGUGUAGGCGGCUCUUUAAGUUAUAUGUGAAAUCCCGCGGCUUAACCGUGGAAGUGCAUAUAAAACUGGGGAGCUGGAGUGCAGGAGAGGUGAGUGGAAUUCCUAGUGUAGCGGUGGAAUGCGUAGAUAUUAGGAAGAACACCGGUGGCGAAGGCGGCUCACUGGACUGUAACUGACGCUGAGGCUCGAAAGCGUGGGGAGCAAACAGGAUUAGAUACCCUAGUAG
rnacentral:rRNA from 1 species